rnacentral:rRNA from 1 species
UACGGAGGGUGCAAGCGUUAUCCGGAUUCACUGGGCUUAAAGGGAGCGCAGGCGGCUUUGUAAGUCAGUGGUGAAAGGCUUAAGCUUAACUUGGGAACUGCCAUUGAUACUAUAAGUCUUGAAUGUUGUUGAGGUUUGCGGAAUGGGUCAUGUAGCGGUGAAAUGCAUAGAUAUGACCCGGAACACCUAUUGCGAAGGCAGCAGGCUAAACAAAUAUUGACGCUGAGGCUCGAAAGCGUGGGGAGCAAACAGG